rnacentral:rRNA from 1 species
GAUGAACGCUGGCGGCGUGCCUAAUACAUGCAAGUCGAGCGAACGGACGAGAAGCUUGCUUCUCUGAUGUUAGCGGCGGACGGGUGAGUAACACGUGGAUAACCUACCUAUAAGACUGGGAUAACUUCGGGAAACCGUAGCUAAUACCGGAUAAUAUUUUGAACCGCAUGGUUCAAAAGUGAAAGACGGUCUUGCUGUCACUUAUAGAUGGAUCCGCGCUGCAUUAGCUAGUUGGUAAGGUAACGGCUUACCAAGGCAACGAUGCAUAGCCGACCUGAGAGGGUGAUCGGCCACACUGGAACUGAGACACGGUCCAGACUCCUACGGGAGGCAGCAGUAGGGAAUCUUCCGCAAUGGGUGAAAGCCUGACGGAGCAACGCCGCGUGAGUGAUGAAGGUCUUCGGAUCGUAAAACUCUGUUAUUAGGGAAGAACAUAUGUGUAAGUAACUGUGCACAUCUUGACGGUACCUAAUCAGAAAGCCACGGCUAACUACGUG